GACAUACAGCUUGUUAUACAAAGGCAAGACUUAGAAGCAAAUCAAAAAUGGAUAUGAAAACUGGCUUUACUGUGUCCUUUGUAGUGCCUGCAGUUUAAGUACAGUCCUUUUCCUGAAAAAUAGGACACAAACCAAAUAGUAUCUGUGGGACAUGUCAACACUUCAGUGCAGUUUUUUUUGUUUUAUGCAUGCAUUUUGCAGAAGCUAGAAGAAUCCUGUACAGGAUAUUGAAUCCCAGUAUUUCCAGCUAAUCAGACUAAUACUUCCUCUGCUUAAAGUCUGGCUUAUUGUACACUUUGAAACAGUUUUUAUUUCUCCAUGUAACUUUCCCAUUCCUUACCCCCUUGCACUGUUAGGGUGCAUUGUAGACUUGCCUUCAUUUGAAAAAAAAGGAAGGUCUUUCGAGCUGAAGAAACAUCAGCACUUCUCAGGUGCUGAGCUUCUCACAUAAUGAGCCUAGGGAAGCCUCCUGUGGUAUGAGCAGCUCAGGAGUCAGGCCCUGGGAACAGCUGUCCCCUCAUGCAUCAUUCAUGGGGGAGCUGUGAUGAUGAAUGAUCAGCUGCAAACAAUGCAUAACAUUUAGAGAAAAUAAACGCAUUUCACUCUAAUUUCAUUUUUCCCAGAGGUGGGGCAGAGCCCCAGGUGUUUCCAUGGCAAGAUAACUUCAGUGGUGGAGGAACCUUUAAGUCCUGGCAACUGUUUUCCAAUGACCCCACAGAUCUUCUCAAGACCCUUUCCUUACAGGAGGUGGAAAAACAGCAGUGAUGAUAAGAAAACUGUUCUGCUGUUGGUCCUCCGGAAUACAGAAAAAACUGGCUGGAGACCCAAAGUGGCUAUUUUGCACCUGCCUGCUGCCUCUCCCUCUCUUCCAGCUGAUGACUCAGAGAGAGAGCUUUCCUUCAGAUUUCUCUCCUGUUCUACCAACAGAAGAUACUCAACUGUUACACUGCAUCCUUUUAUAGGCUUGUCUCCAUGUUUUGUCAUUCAGGCUAUGGCUAGGUCUUGUGGAUGCCUGGAACAUCUGUAAG